rnacentral:rRNA from 1 species
UACGGGGGGUGCGAGCGUUGUCCGGAAUCACUGGGCGUAAAGGGCGCGUAGGUGGUUUGAUAAGGGUGUGGUGAAAGUCCGGGGCUCAACCCCGGAUCUGCCGUGCCGACUGUCAAACUCGAGGGCUGUAGAGGCAGACGGAAUUCCGGGUGUAGCGGUGGAAUGCGUAGAGAUCCGGAGGAAGACCGGUGGCGAAGGCGGUCUGCUGGGCAACAACUGACGCUGAGGAGCGAAAGCGUGGGGAGCGAACAGG